rnacentral:rRNA from 1 species
GACGAACGCUGGCGGCGUGCCUAAUACAUGCAAGUAGAACGCUGAAGGGAGGAGCUUGCUCUUCUUGGAUGAGUUGCGAACGGGUGAGUAACGCGUAGGUAACCUGCCUUGUAGCGGGGGAUAACUAUUGGAAACGAUAGCUAAUACCGCAUAACAAUGGAUGACCCAUGUCAUUUAUUUGAAAGGGGCAAAUGCUCCACUACAAGAUGGACCUGCGUUGUAUUAGCUAGUGGGUGAGGUAACGGCUCACCUAGGCGACGAUACAUAGCCGACCUGAGAGGGUUAUCGGCCACACCGGGACCGAGACACGGCCCCGACUCCUACGGGAGGCAGCAGUAGGGAAUCUUUGGCCAUUGGGGCAACCCUGACCGAGCAACGCCGCGUGAGUGAAGAAGGUUUUCGGAUCGUAAAGCUCUGUUGUAAGUCAAGAACGAGUGUGAGAGUGGAAAGUUCACACUGUGACGGUAGCUUACCAGAAAGGGACGGCUAACUACGUG